rnacentral:rRNA from 1 species
AUCCCUGAAAGAUGAUCAGGUUGAUAGGUCAGAGGUGGAAGCGCGGUGACGUGUGGAGCUGACUGAUACUAAUCGAUCGAGGACUUAACCAA